rnacentral:rRNA from 1 species
GAUGAACGCUGGCGGCGUGCUUAAUACAUGCAAGUCGAGCGAAAAGAUGAGGAUCUUGCUCCUUUGACGUUAGCGGCGGACGGGUGAGUAACACGUGGAUAACCUACCUAUCAGACUGGGAUAACUUCGGGAAACCGGAGCUAAUACCGGAUAAUAUAUUGCACCGCAUGGUUGAAUAGAGAAAGACGGCUUUGCUGUCAGUAAUAGCUGCAUCCGCGCCGGAUUAGCUAGUUGGUAAGGUAACAGCUUAUCAAGGCAACGCUGCGUAGCCGACCUGAGAGGGUGGUCGGCCACACUGGAACUUAGACACGGUCCAGGGGCCUGCGGGAGGCAGCAGUAGGGAAUCUUCCGCAAUGGUCGAAAGCCUGACGGAGCAACGCCGCGUGAGUGAUGAAGGUCUUCGGAUCGUAAAACUCUGUUAUUAGGGAAGAACAAAUUUGUAAGUAACUAUGCACGUCUUGACGGUACCUAAUCAGAAAGCCACGGCUAACUACGUG